GAUGAACGCUGGCGGCGUGCCUAAUACAUGCAAGUCGAGCGAACAGAUGAGGAGCUUGCUCCUCUGACGUUAGCGGCGGACGGGUGAGUAACACGUGGAUAACCUACCUAUAAGACUGGGAUAACUUCGGGAAACCGGAGCUAAUACCGGAUAAUAUAUUGAACCGUAUGGUUCAAUAGUGAAAGACGGUUUUGCUGUCACUUAUAGAUGGAUCCGCGCCGCAUUAGCUAGUUGGUAAGGUAACGGCUUACCAAGGCGACGAUGCGUAGCCGACCUGAGAGGGUGAUCGGCCACACUGGAACUGAGACACGGUCCAGACUCCUACGGGAGGCAGCAGUAGGGAAUCUUCCGCAAUGGGCGAAAGCCUGACGGAGCAACGCCGCUUGAGUGAUGAAGGUCUUCGGUUCGUAAAACUCUGUUAUUAGGGAAGAACAAAUGUGUAAGUAACUAUGCACGUCUUGACGGUACCUAAUCAGAAAGCCACGGCUAACUACGUG
rnacentral:rRNA from 1 species